rnacentral:rRNA from 1 species
UACACAUGCAAGUCGAACGGCAGCACGGACUCGGUCUGGUGGCGAGCAGAACGGUGAGCAAUGUAUCGGAACGUGCCUAGUAGCGGGGAUAACUACGCGAAAGUGUAGCUAAUACCGCAUACGCCCUUCGGGGGAAAGCGGGGGACCUUUCGGGCCUCGCACUAUUAGAGCGGCCGAUAUCGGAUUAGCUAGUUAAGUGGGGUAACGGCUCACCAAGGCGACGAUCCGUAGCUGGUUUGAGAGUAGACGACCAGCCACACUGGACUGAGAGACACGGCCCAGACUCCUACGGGAGGCAGCAGUGGGGAAUUUUUGACAAUGGGGAAAACCUCCUGAUCCAGCCAUCUCGCGUGUGCGAUGAAGGCCUCGGUUGUAAAAGUACUCCUUUUGGCAGGAAGAAACGGGCACGAUAAUACCCCGUGCAACCGACGGUACCGCAGAAUAGCACCGGCUAACUACGUGCCAGCAGCCGCGGUAAUACGUAGGGCAAGCGUUAAUCGGAAUUACUGGGCGUAAAGCGUGCGUAGGCGGUUCGGAAAGAAAGAUGCGGGAACCCAGAGCUUAACUUUGGAACUGCAUUUUUAACUACCGAGCUAGAGGUAGUCAGAGGGAGGUGGAAUUCGCGUGUAGCAGUGAAAUGCGUAGAUAUGCGGAGGAACACCGAUGGCGAAGGCAGCUCUGGGAUAACACUGACGCUCAUGCACGAAAGCGUGGGAGCAAACAGGAUUAGAUACCCUGGUAGUCCACGCUCUAAACGAUGUCAACUAGCUGUUGGGGCCUCGCCUUGGUAGCGCAGCUAACGCGUGAAGUUGACCGCCCGGGGAGUACGGUCGUGCAAGAUUAAAACUCAAAGGAAUUGACGGGGACUCCGCACAAGCGGUGGAUGAUGUGGAUUAAUUCCGAUGCAACGCGAAAAACCUUACCUACCUUUGACAUGUUCAAAUCCCGAAAGACGGAGUGCUCGCAAAGAGAACUGGAACACAGGUGCUGCAUGGCUGUCGUCAGCUCGCUGUGAGAUGUUGGGUUAAGUCCGGCAACGAGCGCAACCUUGUCAUUAGUUGCUACGAAAGGGCACUCUAAUGAGACUGCUGCGACAAACCGGAGGAAGGUGGGAUGACGUCAAGUCCUCAUGGCCCUUAUGGUAGGGCUUCACACGUCAUACAAUGGCUGGGACAGAGGGUCGCCAACCCGCGAGGGGGAGCCAAUCCAGAAACCCGAUCGUAGUCCGGAUCGCAGUCUGCAACUCGACUGCGUGAAGUCGGAAUCGCUAGUAAUCGCGGAUCAGCAUGUCGCGGUGAAUACGUUCCCGUCUUGUACACACCGCCCGUCACACCAUGGAGUGGGUUUUACCAGAAGUAGUUAGCCCAACUAAAGGAGGGCGAUUACCACGGUAGGAUUCAUGACUGGGGUGAAGUCAACAAGGUGAAACC